rnacentral:rRNA from 3 species
UAUGUAAAAUGACUCUCGGCAACGGAUAUCUCGGCUCUUGCAUCGAUGAAGAACGUAGCGAAAUGCGAUACUUGGUGUGAAUUGCAGAAUCCCGUGAACCAUCGAGUCUUUGAACGCAAGUUGCGCCCAAAGCCAUUAGGCUGAGGGCACGCCUGCCUGGGUGUCACA